rnacentral:rRNA from 2 species
AGGACCAAUCAUACCAGCACUAAUGCACCGGAUCCCAUCAGAACUCCGCAGUCAAGCGUGCUUGGGCGAGAGUAGUACUAGGANAUACCUACUCAGUCUAC